AUCAAAGAAGGUAAUAAUCCUGUAGUCGAAAAUCUGUUCUCUCUUGAGUGGAUCCUGAGUACGACGGAACACGAGAAAUUCCGUCGGAAUCUGGGAGGACCAUCUCCCAAGGCUAAAUACUCUCUAGUGACCGAUAGUGAACCAGUACCGUGAGGGAAAGGUGAAAAGUACCCCGGAAGGGGAGUGAAAGAGAACUUGAAACCGUGUGCUUACAAGUAG
rnacentral:rRNA from 1 species